GGGGAUAUAGCUCAGUUGGUAGAGUGCUUGCCUCACAUGCACAAGGUCCUGGGUUCAAUCCCCAGCACCACCA
rnacentral:tRNA from 2 species